AUUGUAUUACACUGAAUGUAUCCUCAGUGUUCUCUAAGUCAAAAUUGUAUUACACUGAAUGUAUCCUCAGUGUUCUCUAAGUCAAAAUUGUAUUACACUGAAUGUAUCCUCAGUGUUCUCUAAGUCAAAAUUGUAUUAUUAUUAUUUUUUUUUUUACAUCGUUCAAUAAAUUCUCUUCCGUCAGUCUUGUGGUGGCCUUAAAAAUGUCACUGUAUUACUCUUCCACUCUCUUAACGGCUUUAUAAUUCUUUUCCGGCCAUUACACUCACACAGCCCAUCAGGUGACACACAGGUGAGACACAGGUGGAAUAAAAGCAGGAAGGAAGUACUCAUUUACGUUUUAUUAAAGCAACAUGACUGAUUCUUUGUGGUGAAUGCAACAAGACAAAAAAUCUUGACCGGAGUGGUGGUGGUGGUGGUGGUGGUGGAUGUGAGGCGCCGUGAUGAUGGGGGAUGAGUGGGGGGGAGAAAGGAGGGGGCGGGGAGAGGAGGGGGUAAAGGGGGGGGGGGUUGGUGGCGGUGGUGGUGGUGGUGGCAAGCGACGAUGAUGAGGAGUCAAUAGUAGUAGUAGUAAUAGUCACAGUAGUAGUAGUAGUAGUACACUAGCCUAUGAGUGAGGAAUAACAAAAUAAAUAGGUGACCCAUAGCAGCGCUAGUUGAGCCACACGUCCGGGGGGCUGCCGCGCCCUCCGGCCGGCCGCCGCCCCCGCCGCGCCCCGCCGCCGCCGCCGGCUGGUGCACGCACGCAGCGCUACAUCUACGCGGUAUAUACAGAAUGUACACGGAACAAAUGCAUAGGCCGGGAGGUGGGGGGCGGCUGGGGGGGCGUGGGGGGCCAGGAUGGACCCAUAGCUGCCGCUAGUUGAGGUCUGCGGUGACUAGCAUCACUAGUUGUCUCCGCGGGGCAGGCGGCUCACGGUAUAAAAAUAUAAUAUUUUAUCUCUCGCUCUCUCACUAACUCUCACUCUACUUAGAAUAGUCUUUGUAUGUAUGUACACGGCCCAUAGCGAGGCUACUGGGGCCAAGGCCACCGUGGUGCGUGCAGAGGGGCGCCCCAAGGCACCCGACAGGACCCGACCCGACGCGCCGCCCCCGGGGCCGCCGGUGAGCAAACCCAGUAACACAGAGGCGGCGGCGGCCCGGGGGGCGGGCGCCGGGGCGAGGCGGGACGGGGCGGGGCGCGUCCUCCGCCGCAGCACCAAGCGUCUGUCUGUCUCCACACGGGUCCCCGCCGCCGCCGGGCCUGGAGGGCGGGGCGGCGGCGGGGCCCUCCACACAGCGGGUCAGGCUACGCGGCAGCGCGGCGAUAGCAGCAGCAGCAGCAGGAGAUAUAGCAGCAACAGUAACACUCAGGGAGGGGGAGGGGGAGGGGGGGGGCAGCCACGACACUCGCGUAGCAGUGACGGCAGAGGGGCUGAAUGAGGGGGUGGGGGUGGGGGGCUGUGGGGCGUGGACUAGAGUGUACGGGGGUGGGGGUGGGGCGGGGAGGGGUCGCCCCCCCGCCCGCUGCUGCCAACACUGGGCGCCGCCAGCAACACACGACAACGGAACAUGAAGAAGAAACCCUCGUGGCGGCGGCGACGCGACUCCUCGUAAAGACUAACACCCGAAACAAUAAAUUACUCGCCCUUUAGAAGCUCUGCCCUGACCGCCCGCGACGAACACCGACAACAACAAGAAUCAUAAUAAAAACAAUAAUAAUAAAAAACAAUAAUAAUAAUAAUAAUAAUAAUGAUAACCGGUACUCGAACACCAGUACUAUGUGAAGUCUUGAUUCCUGAGCCACUUGCAUUUUCUUUAACUUGCAAACCCCAGAAAUAAAUAAAUAAAAUAAUCAAUCAGUCCAUCAAUAGAUGCAUACACACCUCCACCUGAGCUUAGUGCAUCAAUAAUAAUAAUGAUAAUAAUGAUAAAGAUGAUGACAGAGAUACACUCAUACAAUCAUCACCCAACAAUAAUAAUGAUAAUAAUAAAAAUAAGUCGUAAUAGUAAUAAUAGUAAUGCCAACAUCAACACACACACACACACACACAUGUACAAACAAACACAAACUCAAAUGGAAAAAAAAAAAUAUAUAGGUAUACAAAAAAAAAAAAAAAAAGGAAAAACAGGGGGGGGGGGUAUGGAGGAGGAAGGAAGAAGAGGGGGAAUAGUAGUAGUAGUAGUAGUAGUAGUAGUAGUAGUAGUAGUAGUAGUAGUAGUAGUAGUAGUAGUAGUAGGAGGAGGAGGAGGAGGAAGAGAGGGGUGAUGGGGGAGUAUAAUGCCACAAUAUAACAUUUGGAGAAGGAAGAGGAAGAAGAGGAGGAGGAGGAAGAGGAGGAGGAGGAGGAGGAGAAGACAAGAGGGAAAACUGGAGAUAUAGUGAGGAGGAGGAGGAGGAGGGAAAAAGGAAGAGAGGUUGAGAGUUGGUUAGGUUAGGGGUUAAGAAUGUGGGAUUGAAUACACACCAAAAUAGUAUUAGGAAGGAGAAAAAAAAAGAGUAAUAAAGUAAGGUAAGCUGAGGUAAGGAAGUGGGAUUGUUGGGUAAGGAUGGGAGGGUAAGGUUAGGGGUUAGAUAAAAAAUAAAUAAAUAAAUAAAUAAAUAAAAAAGCAGGGAAGGAGGGUUAGGUUAGGUAAGGUUAGAAGUGGGUUGGGGUAAAGGUGGGUAUGAUUGGGGAAAGGGUAGGGUUAGGUAAGGGAGGGAGGUAGGGAAGGAAGGUUAGGUUAGGUUAGGUAAGGUUAGAAAUGGGUUGGGGUAAAGGUGGGUAAGAUUGGGGAAAGGGUAGGGUUAGGUAAGGGAGGGAGGUAAGGUUAGGUAAGGUUAGAAGUGGGUUGGGUAUAGUUGGGUAAGACUGGGGUAGGGUUGGGUUCAGUUAGGUUAGGUAAAUAACGAUCAAAAUAGAGAAAAUAGGGAGGGUAGGAGGAUUAGGUUAGGUAAGGUAAGGUUAGAAGUGGGUUGGGGUAAAGUUGGGUAAGACUGGGGAAGGGUUAGGUUAGGUUAAGUAAACAAAGAUCAAAAUAAACAAUGAGAGUGACGAGAGAAAAAUAGGAAGGGUAGGAAGGUUAGGUAAGGAAAGGUUACAAGUCGGUUGGGGUAAAGUUGGGUAAGACUGGGGAAGGGUUAGGUUAGGUUAGGUUAAGUAAACAAAGAUCAAAAUAAACAAGGAGAAAGAGGAGAGAAAAACAGGGAGGGUAGGAGGGAUAGGUUAGGUUAGGUAAGGUUAGAAGUGGGUUGGGUAAAGAUGGGUAAGACUGGGGUAGGGUUAGGUUAGGUAAAGUAAAUAAAGAUCAAAAUAAAUGAGAAGAGGAGAAAAAUAGGGAGGGUUAGGUUAGGUAAGGUUAGAAGUGGGUUUGGGUAAAGUUGGGUAAGACUGGGGUAGGGUUAGGUUAGGUUAGGUACAUAAAGAUCAAAAUAAACAAGGAGAAAGAGGAAAGAGGUAGAGAGAGAGGGUAAGAUUAAGUAAAGAAGGGGCUUGUUGGGAAAGGGGGGUUGAAGGGGUUAAAGAGAACAAAACGGAAGAGAGAGAGAGAACGAAAAAGAGGCAGAGAGAGAGGUUGGGUAGGAGGGCUAGAUUAGGUUAGCAGUGGGGUUGGGGAAAGGCUAAGAAAGUGGGGUUGAAGGGGGUAAAGAGAACAAAACAGAAGGGAGACAGAACAAAAAAGAGGUAGAAAGAGCGAUAGAGUAGAGGGUUAGAUUAGGUUAGAAGCGGGGUUGGGGAAAGGGAAUGAUAGAAAGGGGUUUGAGGGGGGUUGAAGGGGGGCAAGACAACAAAACAGAAGGGGAGACAGAACAAAAAAAGAGGCAGAGAGAGAGGUUGGGUAGGAGGGCUAGAUUAGGUUAGAGGUGGGGUUGGGAAAGGACUAAGAAAGAAGGGGGUUGAGGAAGGGUUGAAGAGAGCAAGACAACAAAACAGAAGGAGAAAGAACGAAAAAGAGGCAGAGAGAGAGGUUGGGUAGGAGGGCUAGAUUAGGUUAGCAGUGGGGUUGGGAAAGGACUAAGAAAGAAGGGGGGUUGAGGAGGGGUUGAAGAGGGAAAGAGAACAAAACGGAAGGGGAGACAGAACAAAAAAUAGUUAGAAAGAGCGAUAGGGUAGAAGGUUAGAUAAGGUUAGCAGUGGGGUUGGGAAAGGCUAAGAAAGAAGUGGGGUUGAAGGGGGUUAAGAGAACAGCCCUCACUACCUCUCUGAACACACCGACCUACAGAUUGAGCUGUAUUCUAAAGGGAGGUCUCUGUCUCUCUGUGUUGGCGUCAUGUUCGUAAACUCAACUUUUUACAAUAUCUCUGCGUGUGUCUGUAUCUCUCUCUCUCUCUCUCUCUGCAUUAUGUUUCGACUAAUCUAUUUCUCUCUAUAUAUCUUAUUUCUGUAUCUCUCUCUACAGUCUCAUCUACAUUCUUUCUCUCUAAUUUUCCUGAUAGUUAGAUAGAUAAACUUAGCUUGUCUUUUCUCUCUCUCUCUCUCUCUCUCUUUAAUUUUCAUGAUAGAUAUAUAAACAUAACUUGUCUUUUAUGUAUCUCUCUCUCUCUCUCUCUCUCUCUCUCUCUCUCUCUCUCUCUCUCUCUCUCUCAUUUCUUUCUCUCCCUCUCUCGACUUUCACACAUCUAAGCUGUUCUUCAUUUCUUUCCUAUUCUAUUUUUCUCUCUUUUUAUCUAUUCAUCUUUUGACUUUCAUUUCAGAUCUAAGUGACCUUCAACUAUUUCUUUCAUUCAUAUUCUUUCUCUAUUUUAUCUCUGUUUCUCCAGCCAUUUCCCUGAGUUGAAGUCUGAGGCUAGACCAUUGAUUCUCUCUCUCUCUCUCUCUCUCUCUCUCUCUCUCUCUCUCUCUCUCUCUCUCUCUCUCUCACAGGUGGUUAGGGCUGUCAAAUUUGUACAUAUAAUCACUUUUGUGCUCCAGUUGAAAAAAUAGAAGGGUGGAGGAGGAGGAGGAGGAGGAGGAAGAAAGGAGGAAGGAUGGGAUGGGGUAAACACAAGGAAGGAAUAGGAUAAGGAAGAAAUGGGAGAAGGAUAAAGAAGGGGUGGGAUAGGGUAGAGAGAGAGGAGGAGGAGGAGGAGGAAGAGUUGAUGGGUAAUGAAGGAAGGGAAGGGAAGGAAGGAAAAGAAAGGGAAGGGAAAGGAGAGGAGAGGUCAGGUAAGGAAGGGAAGGGGAGGGAAGGGAAGAAGAGGUCAGGUAAGGAAGGGAAAGGAAAUGAAGGGAAAGGAGAGGUCAGGUAAGGAAGGGAAGGGAAGGGAAAUGAGGGGAAGGGAAGGAAAGGAAGGGAAAAGAGUGGUCAGGUAAGGAAGGGAAGGGAAGGUAGGAAAAUGAAGGGAAAUGAAGGAAAGGGAAAGGAGAGGUCAGGUAAGGUAGGAAAAUGAAGGGAAAUGAAGGUAAGGUAAGGUAAGGCAAGGAAAGGGAAAGUAAGGUAAGGAAAGGGAAAGUAAGGUAAGGGGAUGGAAACAAUUAUCAUGAAAAAAUAAAAUAAAAAAAGAAAAAAUAACAAGAAAAAACAAAACAAACACAAUUACACAAAUACAUCAACCUCAUUUAACUUAAGUAUAAAAAGUAAUCAAUUUAGGCCCCUUUUUUUGUUUUGCAUACAUAUCUCAAGGGAAGAGAGGGGCAGGGUUAGUAGAUAUAGGGGGAGGGGGGGGUUAUGAAGGGGUUGGAUUGGGAGAAAAGGGGGGGAGGGGGGAAGAGGGGAAAGGAAGGGAAGGGAAGGGAAUGAGAGAGAGAGAGAGAGAGAGAGAGAGAGAGAGAGAGAGAGAGAGAGAGAGAGAGAGAGAGAGAGAGAGAGAGAGAGAGAGAGAGAGAGAGAGAGAGAGAGAGAGAGAGAGAGAGA